GCGGGCGUCGUUCAAUGGUAGGACUCCAGCUUCCCAAGCUGAUAACGUGGGUUCGAUUCCCAUCGCCCGCUCCA
rnacentral:tRNA from 1 species